CUCAGAGCUCGAUUUUUUAGCUAACCUGAUCCUGGUGCGGGCCCUAUUGCAGUCACUAACGCACUUCAUCGCUUUAUCGGCGACUUUUUCACGGCGCUAGUUUUAGUAUGAGCCAUUAAUUCCUCUCUCUUACACUCAUACUAAAUUGGUGUGGUGAUAUAAAGUGGCGGAGAAAGUGGUGAAGUGAAGUACGUUAGAGCACUGAUUAUUGGAUUUAUCAUCAAUUUAUACCUGAUAGAUAUCUAACCUCUCACUCAAAAGGAAUAAUGAAAGGAAAAUAAUAACUUUUGUAUGAUGAAACCUCGUUUACCAAAUAGGUGCUGAUUUUGGUGGUGGAUUCGGCGGAGAUGUCAAGCGUUCCCUCCCAAAAAUGAUAUGAGAACGGACGGUAAAGAAUAAAAAUAAGUUAGCCAAUCAGAGGA
rnacentral:sRNA from 1 species